rfam:Xanthomonadaceae bacterium 3.5X genomic scaffold scaffold1, whole genome shotgun sequence.
GGGGGUGUCAUGGCUUCGACGGGGGUAGUGCGAUGGCUUGGUGCAUGCCGAGGGGGCAGCUUUCCUCGAUAAUCCAGCCGCAAAACACAUAAUUGCCAACGACAGCAAUUACGCUCUCGCCGCUUAAGGCGUAAGCCCCGAACCAGUCUGUGCCCGUGCGGGCCGGUGUAGGGUCAUCCACGCGGGACCGCCUUCGGACUGUUGCCUGUCGGUCCAAGGUCAAAUCAAGCAGGCUGGUUCUGCGGCGCGCUUUGUUCACCGUGCUGCCGUGGAACGAGACUCAACGGUGAGCUAAGCAUGUAGUACCGGGCGUCAAACGCCUUCGGACGCGGGUUCGACUCCCGCCACCUCCACCA